GAUCAGUGGCGAAAGGGUGAGUAGCACGUGAGCAAUCUGCCCUCGAGAUCGGGAUAGCCCCGGGAAACUGGGAUUAAUACCGGAUGUGGUUACCGGUCGCAUGGCCGGUGUACUGAAGGCGCAAGCCGCUCGAGGAUGAGCUCGCGUCCGAUUAGCUAGUUGGUGGGGUCACGGCCCACCAAGGCUGAGAUCGGUAGGUGGUCUGAGAGGAUGGUCACCCACACUGGGACUGAGACACUGCCCAGACUCCUACGGGAGGCUGCAGUCGAGAAUCUUCCGCAAUGGGCGAAAGCCUGACGGAGCGAUGCCGCGUGAGGGAUGAAAGCCUUCGGGUUGUAAACCUCUGUCGCCCGGGACGAAACCAAUGACGGUACCGGGAGAGGAAGCUACGGCUAACUACGUGCCAGCCGCGGUAAUACGUAGGUAGCAAGCGUUAUUCGGAUUUACUGGGCGUAAAGGGUCCGCAGGGGGCCUGCCAAGUCUGAUGUGAAAUACCACGGCUCAACUGUGGAACGGCAUUGGAAACUGGCGGGCUAGAGUGCAUGAGGGGUGAGCAGAAUUCCUGGUGUAGCGGUGGAAUGCGUAGAUAUCAGGAGGAAUACCGAUGGCGAAGGCGGCUCACUGGCAUGCAACUGACCCUCAGGGACGAAAGCGUGGGUAGCAAACAGGAUUAGAUACCCUGGUAGUCCACGCUGUAAACGGUGUACACUAGAUGUGGGUGGUCCUUUUGGUCCCAUCCGUGUCCAAGCUAACGCGUUAAGUGUACCGCCUGGGGACUACGGCCGCAAGGUUAAAACUCAAAGGAAUUGACGGGGGCCCGCACAAGCGGUGGAGUAUGUGGCUUAAUUCGAGGCAACGCGAAGAACCUUACCUGGGCUUGACAUAUACCUGACGGGGUGUGAAAGCAUCCUUUCCUUCGGGACGGGUAUACAGGUGCUGCAUGGCUGUCGUCAGCUCGUGUCGUGAGAUGUUCGGUUAAGUCCGGCAACGAGCGCAACCCGUACUGUCAGUUGCGACCAGGUGGAGCUGAGCACUCUGGCGGGACUGCCCGUGUUAAGCGGGAGGAAGGCGCGGAUGACGUCAAGUCAGUAUGCCCCUUACGUCCAGGGCUGCACACGUACUACAAUGGGCGGUACAGUGGGAAGCAAUACCGCGAGGUGGAGCAAAUCCUCAAAACCGCCCCCAGUUCAGAUUGCAGUCUGCAACUCGACUGCAUGAAGCCGGAAUCGCUAGUAAAGGCGUAUCAGCAACGACGCCUUGAAUACGUUCCCGGGCCUUGUACACACCGCCCGUCACAUCAUGGAAGCCGGUUGCACCCGACACUUCCGAUCCAACCCGCAAGGGAGGUAGGAAACUAAGGUGUGCCCGGUAACUGGGAUGAAGUCGAAACAAGGUA
rnacentral:rRNA from 1 species